rnacentral:rRNA from 1 species
GAUGAACGCUGGCGGCGUGCCUAAUACAUGCAAGUCGAGCGAACGGACGAGAAGCUUGCUUUUCUGAUGUUAGCGGCGGACGGGUGAGUAACACGUGGAUAACCUACCUAUAAGACUGGGAUAACUUCGGGAAACCGGAGCUAAUACCGGAUAAUAUUUUGAACCGCAUGGUUCAAAAGUGAAAGACGGUCUUGCUGUCACUUAUAGAUGGAUCCGCGCUGCAUUAGCUAGUUGGUAAGGUAACGGCUUACCAAGGCAACGAUGCAUGGCCGACCUGAGAGGGUGAUCGGCCACACUGGAACUGAGACACGGUCCAGACUCCUACGGGAGGCAGCAGUAGGGAAUCUUCCGCAAUGGGCGAAAGCCUGACGGAGCAACGCCGCGUGAGUGAUGAAGGUCUUCGGAUCGUAAAACUCUGUUAUUAGGGAAGAACAUAUGUGUAAGUAACUGUGCACAUCUUGACGGUACCUAAUCAGAAAGCCACGGCUAACUACGU